rnacentral:lncRNA from 1 species
ACUCUGAAUACCACUAACCCCACAACGAAACCCAGGGGUCCAGAGAAGAGGUAUAGCACGCAAGGCAGCGGAUGUUUCUAGUCUAUUGGGACACAGCCCCAACCCCUCUGAGGAAACAGGAUGGUCUAGCAGGGGACAGCCCCAUACAAGAGCCUGAACCUCAGCGCCACCAUCUUCCAGCUGCAAAGAAUUGACAUGAGCUGUGUCUGCCCACACACUGCCCUGUCUCAGAGGGCAAACGACAGUGGCUGGACUGCUCUCUCCCCUCUCAGAGAGGAAAGUCCUGCUGGGUAGUUUUGGUCCCCAGCAGGUGUUGACCACCUAGAGCUCAAACCCCUACACUCUCUGUGUGGGCUUCCCUCUGGGCAGAACCAGCCUAUAGGACUCUGAAGUGCCUCAGCUUCCUCAUCUGCACAAAUGAGACUGUCACACUCUGGUGACCCAAGGUGUAUAUAGCAAGCUUAAGCCUAUUACCUGCCCUGGAAGGCAAAGCCCCUCACUACUCUACUGGGAUUACCACUACAUUAGCUAAGUAAGGGCCUUGCGCCUCAGCUGAGCAGACUGGACUCUGAGUGCCAGGCUGCGUGCAAGUCCGUCACCACUACCAUCGGGUGACUGUCCAUCUCUUUAAACGGGGUCGCACCCGCUGUAGCUAAAGGGCACAGUGGCCUAACUCGAGAGUUUGAAAUCUGGCCUCACCCUGCCAAGUAGCCUAGAGGCACCAUUGUGAUCCUGUGCCCCUGGGUGGCACUGACCAUACAGGACUCCCCCCUGGACUGCUAACAGAAAGUUCCCCAACAGCUAUCAGCCAGUGAUUUAGAAAUCUUCUAGGAAUGGGUUAGGCUAAGAAGAUCUGCUGUCUUCCUGGCCAGGGAUCACUGCAAGUUCAAGUCCAGACCAUCCUUGCACAUGAACAAAGGGAGAAGCUUUACUGGCAGGCACACUUCCGCCUCUGUGCCCUCGCCCUAUCUGAUAUGAUACCAGGUUCCAUGACGCAAACGCUGGGGCUCUCAGGCCCACAGGGCCGACCAAGCUGCAUGUAAGAACAUACCCCAUAUCUAAGGCCUUCAAAGCCUCUGCAACAGGGGGGGCUUGUGUAGGACACCUGUGGGGGGCUCAUAGUCCCUCCAGAGACUGCCUGGGCUUAGGUGACCCACUGGGCUUCUUGGACCUGCUUGGACUAACUGUCCUCCAAUGGAAGAGCAUCCCCGCUACUCAAGACCUUAGUGGGUAUAGAGAAAUAUGCAAGGCCCUAGCUGGUGGCCUGACUCUCCUCUUCCCUCCCCUGUAGCUUGAGGACCCAGUUUCUGCUUCCACAUAACACAGGCUGAGUGCUCAGAGCAGGCCCUGGCACACAGGAAGCCUUUUGAUGAGCUCAGAGACACACUGAGUCUAAAACUAAAGAGUCCCUCCACAGGCAGAGGCCUGGGAAUAGCAGGAACACACAUCUCUGCUCUCUCCCUACUGCACCCCCCCCCCGCCCCCACCGCAGUCUCUAAGACCCCAGGCUGAGAAGUAGUGAGGUCCUGGUGGGUACAGGAGGGCAUGAGGCUGUCAUACUCUGGCCUCCGCUCAGAUGCAACCAUUCGGAGGUCACUGCACGGUAUGGUGCCACACACCUUUAAUCCCAGUAUUCGGGAGUCAGAGGCAAGCAGAUCUCUGUGAGUUCGAGGCCAGCCUGGACUAAACAGAAACACCAUGUCUCAAAAAAAAAAAAAAAAAAAAGAAGUCUAAAACUAAACAGGCCUGUGGGAGGCCAAAGUCUACGGGUUACAGAAGCGGGGAGAGGAGACUGGAUCUACCAGGCCUCACCGCUCACACCUUCCUGACCCACUGAUUCCCAUGCCACAGCUUGGGCCUACCACAGGCAGGCCAUGGCACCAACCUUCAUGGCUGGCUACUGGUUGCCCUCCCUCUGAGCCCUGCCUUUCUUUAUGGAGUCUUAAGGACUCUUUACUAGAGAAAUGGGAGACAGCACUGGUGAGGGAUCCACAUGUCCUUGGUGGACAUGACCAUGCCCAUGGCUCAUGAUCCCUAGGGCUGUAAGCAGAGCUUCUAACGAGACCCCAGAGGUACAGGGUAGGGGAAGGAAGGGCAGAGCCUUAGCACUCCCGGCUCUCACUUGCCUCAAGCCCCCUUUACUGACUCUGCUUUCACCUAAGCUCAAGGCCAGUCCCCAGUGGACAGGCACAGUGGCUUACACACAUACGGCUAUAUUGAGCACCAAGCCCAGACCUACACUUUUUUAAAGAAAGCAUCAUCAUCAACAUCAACAUCACAGUCAUCAUCUUGUGUAUGAGUGUUUUGCCUGCAUAAGAGUCUGUGCACCACAUGCGUGCUUGGUGCUAGAGGAGGUGGUGAGCCUCGGGUGGUUGCCGAGAAUCGAACCUAGGUCUUUCACAACAAUAACAAGUGCCCUUAACCACUGAGCCAACUCUCCAGCCUCCGAGACCUUCAUCACAUGGAAACCACAGGACAGAAAUUCAGGGAAAUGACCCCAAAGAACCUAUCUUCCAGUUACCCAGGAGCCAUCUGGUACCAGCUACCACACCCACCCGCCACACCCACUCACAGGGAAUCCUGGCUCUUGCACUGGGGGGAUGAACUCGCAGGCCCUCUUGCCUAUGAGGUGAAGGGACCUGCAUUGGAGCCCUCAACUGCUCAGACUUGGUGCACCGGACCUGCCUCGUUCAUCUCCUUCAUUAUCAUGCUGGUUCCUAGGCUUGCAAGAGUCUCUUCUGGGUAACCUGGCUCUCCUAACUGGUGGAGCCACUGUCUUGUGUGACUUUUGUAUGGGAAAUGCUUUCCCCUGAAACCCAGCCGCAAUCCUCUGAGCCGCCCGCUACCUAUCAGCCAGCAUCCAGGAAUGUACUGGGGAAGAAGCUUUGGUGGGCAUUCGGAGGAGGGUGGUCAGCCUUCUCUAGGUUACAAGUAGCCGGGCCGGAGAGGGCAUUGCUGAGGCUAAGGAUGGCUUGCAGAGGGCCCCUCAAACCUGGCCUUGCCCUCCCUCCACCGGGGACAGCUCACGGAUGAGAGGAGCAGGGAGGUUGCUUCGCUGCCUCCGUUUGCAACUCUUUCCUGAGGAGGUCCAGGCUCGCCCCCUCCAAAGCAUGGGAAGAGGCAUGGAAGAGCCUGAAUAUCCAGGAAGAGAGGUAAAGACCCUGCCGCCAGGAGCCCCGUGGGCAACAAGGAGCUGAGGUGGUAGGAUAUUCAGCACUGAGGGGAGGGAGACAGAAGCCAGAAGUCUGUAAUCCACCCAGACCAGCUCUGCCCCGCCCCCACCUCCACUCCUGACCCCUGGGGAGCCCCGUGAGAGCCGUGGCAGGUUCUGGGAGUUUGCCUAGCUCUCCUACUAUGAAACAUGAGUUUCACAAGUGACCAGUGCCUGGCACGUCAGCUCAUGGAAAGGCUGGGGGUUCUCUAACAGGAAGAGAUCUCCCGUCGGGACUUCGGCCCACUGGCUUUCCUGUUUCCACACUCCUAUUUAUUCUGAUACCCAGAUUCCUAUCUGGGGGCUGGGGUUGGGGGGAAUCAAUGACGGUAGUUGUUUAUGGGGGAGUUAAUGAAGCAAUGCCUUCGCUGACCCUACACCUGUGGGAAGCCGGGAGGGCCAGGUUCCUUGCACGGGGGACCUCACCCCACCUCUUCACUUCUUUCUCCCAGCUCAGGUUACAGCCUGCUCCCACUGCCCCUCCCCCACUCUAGACCCCGGGUCUGGUCACAGCUAAAAAUAAACUCAAGGACUGGCUUACCAGCACACACCUUUAAGCCCCAGGAAAGAUGCUUCCAGCUUCCAGAUAGGGGUCACUAGUCUGAGGAGGGGAGUCGGGAGGCUUCCAGUAUAACACACUGCACACCUCUUAGCAUGGGGUGUAUAAACACACCUGUGGAGGCAGUGGCCCUUCCACUAACUGGUGCUAAGAGUGCGCCAGGCUCCGUGCUAAGGACCUUUGGUGAAUUUACCUUUUGGGCUCAUCUACCCAUUUUACAGACCAGAGAGCUGAGGACCGGAUCAGGAAGGAAGAGCG